rnacentral:rRNA from 1 species
AAGACCUUGCGCUUUUGGAGCGGCCGAUGUCUGAUUAGCUUGUUGGUAAGGUAAAAGCUUACCAAGGCUUCGAUCAGUAGCUGGUCUGAGAGGACGGCCAGCCACACUGGGACUGAGACACGGCCCAGACUCCUACGGGAGGCAGCAGUGGGGAAUUUUGGACAAUGGGGGCAACCCUGAUCCAGCCAUGCCGCGUGAGUGAAGAAGGCCUUCGGGUUGUAAAGCUCUUUCAGCCGGAACGAAACGGUUACGGUUAAUACCCGUGACUACUGACGGUACCGGAAGAAGAAGCACCGGCUAACUACGUGCCAGCAGCCGCGGUAAUACGUAGGGUGCAAGCGUUAAUCGGAAUUACUGGGCGUAAAGCGUGCGCAGGUGGUUUUGUAAGUCAGAUGUGAAAUCCCCGGGCUUAACCUGGGAACU